rnacentral:lncRNA from 1 species
UGGGACAGGAAAAUGAGGGCUUGAGACAGGAAAGGGAGGUUAAUUUUGGAGUCCCUUGUCCUACAGGAGUUGGUCUGGGGAGCUUGCAGAUUUCUUCCCUUUGAAUGUUGAACGUUCAUAAUGUGAGUACCACUGCAGUCACCCUGUGUUCUUUGGCAGGUUCUGCACCCCCAAUUCUUACGUGCAUUCAUCUAUGGCUUCUUUGCCAAAGUCCUCAAGUCCUGGUACUUAAAAUGGUUUCUGCAAUGUUCAGUUUAAGAUGCAAUCACAACAGUUAGCUGUAGGUGCAGUUUUCCAGUACUGAAAAAUUUCCUUGAUUCUAGAUAUAGUUUCAUAAUUACUUUCAACCGGCCUUAUUUUCUUUUUGCAUUUUCUAGCUGUCAUUAAUGGAGCCCAUUAUAAUACAUAGGUGAAGGGAAAUGCUGUCCGCUCAUGGACAGCAUGAGAACAUUAUUUUCUGUUUUGAUGUAGACACAUCACAUCCUUGAUUCAUUAUUUGCACAUGAAAACAGUUAUCUUCACAGAAAAGUUGUGUAAUUGUUAAAAUUACAGAGUUGUGUAAUUUUGAGACAAAAUAUAAAUACAUGUUGCUAAGGUUACAGGGGACUCCGUAAAACAAAACUUACCAACAAAACACAGGAACCUCGUGCACCUACACUAGGGUCAGAGAAUGAAGAGACUUUUCAAAAAGAAGAGGGAGUUCUUUGGUUAGAGGAGAAAACGGUACACUCAGAGGUCAUAGUUUGUCCUCCACUUUAUACUGAGAGGAAUUCACAGUUGUGAGAGUCCUUCAAGGUCUGGUUCAUCCAGUGUUGUCAGGGUGCAGGACAAAACACGAGAAGUCUCCAGCCUCCUAAGAAUGUUGAUACACUUGCUUCCCAUCUUCACAAGGAAAUAGCACAUAAAGGGAUGGAGGGUGGUAAAAGGAAGAAAAAUUAAAAAGCAUGAAAAAAAGUCUCACUUAUAAAUGCUGAAUUCACCUGGAUUUUCUGCAUUAGGGGACCCUGGCAUGACAGGGAGUGCUCAGAGUGAGAGGGGACAGGAGUUUACAUAGUUUUCUGAGAAGGCACGGAGAGCUCCUGGGCCGAACAAUUCUCUCCCUGCUGACCUCAGGAGCCCGAGACACACUUGUCACAGUUAAUGAGCCUGGCACCCCUGGGAGUGCACAAGUGGCCUCAGAGUCACACAGGCUUUGAGAACAGCACUUCUGCUGGGCUCCAAAGUAUCAGACUCUGUUUCCUGAGCACUUCAUCAGAAUAUUCCCUGGCAGCUCUUCCUCACAGAGAAAUGUGAACAAAGGUGAAAAAGCUACUUAAACAUGCAAAUAAAGACUUAAGACUGAAAAUAUCCCAAAUUGGUUGAAAAAAUACUAACCUACAUAUCCAGAAAAUGAAAUAAACUCCAAGUAGGAUAAAUGCAAACAAAUAUCUACAUCCAGACACAUUGGAGUCAAGGUGUUGGAAGCCAAAGGUAAGAAAAUCUUGGAACCUGUCAAGGAAAACAAUUUAUCACACACAAGUGAAACCCAGUGAGAUUGACAUCUGACUUCCCAUUACCCCCGGGAGAGACGAUCAAAGUGUUGACAGCAAAAACCCUUGACUCCACAAAAAUACUUCCAUAUUUCUAACAUGACAGGCAAAUAAAGAUAUUUUCCAGGAAAACAAAAACUGAUAACAUUGAUUGUUGGGACCU